AUGACGAUGAGAACGGGUCCAGGGUGGGGGGAGGGGUGGAGAACAUCCACCAAGUUCACAGCAAACCCCACGCCAGCGGUUUGGCUCCCUGGCCGUGACCGCGGAAUGCGGCCCCUCCCCCGAGUGUGGCUGGACCGAGCAGGGAGGCGCGCAGCGUCGGGAGGAUGGGCAGAUAAGGCAGGGGCGGUGAUGCCGGGCACGGAUGGGGUCAGGGACCAGGGCCGAGGCUUCCAGAAGGGCAGGGGCCGCAGAGGGUCGCCCGCAGGGAGCAGCUGCUCUGGGCUGGGUGCGGGGUGCGUAGGGAGGCGUGCGGACGGCGAAGGGGGCCGACGAGGGGAGACAGGUGCUGGGGAAGGGGUGGGUCCCAGCGAAGGAGCGGCUGUGCGAGGUGCAGCAGCGACCCGGGGGCGGCAGCGGGACCCCGACCGGGCCCCCGGCUCUGCCGGGCUGAGCCAGGCGCCCGCUCCGCCGUCGCCAAGUUCCUGCAACUUUGCCCGCUGCGCUCGGAGGGCGCGCCGGGCCCGGGGCGCACCAGGGGCCGGGGGCGCACAGCGAGCGGGCGCGGGGCGCGAGGUGCGGGGUCCGGCCGCGCCGCCCGAGAGUGGCCCGAGUCCCGCGCCCCUUGCCUCGGCCCCUCCGGCCGCGCUCGGACUCGGGCUCCGCGGGCGCCGCGCUUACCUUUCCGGGGCUGCGCCCGCCGCCGCCGCCGCCGCCGUCCUCCCGGCUCUAACUUCGCUCCGGGGAUUGAAAUUCCGCCCCAGCUUCGCCCAUCGAUCCGCGCGCCGCCCCGCCCCUCGCCUCGCGGGCAGGGGGGCCCUUGCGCGCGCGCCCCCCCCUCCCCCGCUCGCUCCCUCCCACCCCGUCUUCCUCCCCGCCCGGGUCCGGCGCCGAGUCCUCGCCUUGCCUGUUCCCCCCUCCCUCCCUCCCGAACCCCCUCCGCUCGCCCGGCCUCCGCGCCGCCUCGCUCCUUCCCUCCGCGGCCGCCGAGCGCAGGGGGAGGGGCGGGGAGGGGGAGGUACUCGAAAGCGCAGGAGGGUUUCCUCGCGGCCCCUCCCCUGCCCUGCCCUGCCGCCCACAUCCAAGCGGGGGCGGGGGAGCGCGCGGAUGCCGUCGCCCGGAUGA
rnacentral:lncRNA from 1 species